UGAGGUAGUAGGUUGUAAAGUUAGAGUUACAUCACUCACUGGCGAACUGUACAACCUCCUAGCUUUCCU
rnacentral:pre_miRNA from 1 species